rnacentral:rRNA from 1 species
UACGAAGGGGGCUAGCGUUGCUCGGAAUCACUGGGCGUAAAGCGCACGUAGGCGGACACUUAAGUCAGAGGUGAAAUCCCAAGGCUCAACCUUGGAACUGCCUUUGAUACUGGGUGUCUUGAGUUCGGGAGAGGUGAGUGGAACUGCGAGUGUAGAGGUGAAAUUCGUAGAUAUUCGCAAGAACACCAGUGGCGAAGGCGGCUCACUGGCCCGAUACUGACGCUGAGGUGCGAAAGCGUGGGGAGCAAACAGG